rnacentral:rRNA from 1 species
UACGUAGGGUGCGAGCGUUGUCCGGAAUUACUGGGCGUAAAGCGCACGUAGGCGGCUUGGUAAGUUAGAGGUGAAAGCCUGGAGCUCAACUCCAGAAUUGCCUUUAAGACUGCCGAGCUAGCAGGUGAGAGAGGUGAGUGGAAUUCCGAGUGUAGAGGUGAAAUUCGUAGAUAUUCGGAAGAACACCAGUGGCGAAGGCGGCUCACUGGCUCAUACUGGACGCUGAGGUGCGAAAGCGUGGGGAGCAAACAGG